rnacentral:rRNA from 1 species
UACAGAGGUGGCAAGCGUUGUUCGGAAUUACUGGGCGUAAAGGGCGCGUAGGCGGCCUUCUAAGUCAGACGUGAAAUCCCCCGGCUUAACCUGGGAACUGCGUCUGAUACUGGAGGGCUUGAGUAUGGGAGAGGGAUGUAGAAUUCCAGGUGUAGCGGUGAAAUGCGUAGAUAUCUGGAGGAACACCGGUGGCGAAGGCGGCAUCCUGGACCAACACUGACGCUGAGGAGCGAAAGCCAGGGGAGCAAACGGG